CCAUUAGAUGAAGAAGAUCUAGUAGCUUAUAUUCUAAAUGGUUUAGAUGAGGACUAUGAACCUGCUAUUUCCGGUUUGAUGACAAGGGUAGAACCUGUCACUUUGGGAGAAUUAUAUUCUGUGCUGCUAAACUUUGAGA